GAUGAAGAACGCAGCGAAAUGCGAUACGUAAUGUGAAUUGCAGAAUUCAGUGAAUCAUCGAGUCUUUGAACGCACAUUGCGCCCCCUGGUAUUCCGGGGGGCAUGCCUGUCCGAGCGUCAUUGCUGCCCUCAAGCACGGCUUGUGUGUUGGGCCUCCGUCCUCCUCCCGGGGGACGGGCCCGAAAGGCAGCGGCGGCACCCCGUCCGGUCCUCGAGCGUAUGGGGCUUCGUCACCCGCUCUUGUAGGCCCGGCCGGCGCUUGCCGACACAUCAAUCUUUUUUCCAGGUUGACCUCGGAUCAGGUAGGGAUACCCGCUGAACUUAAGCAUAUCAAUAAGCGGAGGA
rnacentral:misc_RNA from 1 species